UAGGCUGCAGGAAUCUUGGAAAUGACAACUCUCCAGACUCAGACCUAAGGAUUUCUGCAAUCUUCAGACAGAUGGAAUGUUAUUAUUUGCCAUCGUGAUUUUCUACCCGAUGUUGCUCCUAACCAAGAUAUUCAUCACGUGGCAAAAAAGCGACAAUGGAUUUGGGCCCAUAGAAACCACUACUCUUACCACAAACUCCAUCACUUGGAAACCAGCAGCCUAACUGGAAAGUGGAAUGGCCUUCAGAAGACUCCGUUGUGCUUCUACUCUAAAGACAACACCCUAGGAAGCUGAGGCUCUGUCUGAGGAUGUGCAAUAUGCUCUCACUCGGCAAUCAGUACAAGAAUUUCCCUUCCCACAUCCAUAAGAACAGCACCAGAAAACACGGGCUGGCAGUGGCUUCUCUCUCUCCCUGUUACACCUAAUAACCACCUGCACAAUUUCUGUUUCUUAUCCCCAUGACGUUGAACUCUGCUGAUUUGGAAAUCUCUUUUCCCAGGGGAAAAACACUUCCACUGUGGAACACAGCAAUGGGCCCAUUUAGUUAGUUGAUAAGCCUGGAAAUUUCGGGUUCCUCCUGCCAUUGAACCAACAGGGACAAGAGGUUACUCUACUGCCUGGUGUGAUGGAUCAUGGUUAUCAAAUCAGACUGCUUAGAUUCUGCAAUGAAUGGAUGGACUGGGUCUGAAGCCCAGAGAUGGCUUUCUGGGGACACCUCUUAACUCCCCCAUGUCCAAUAAUAAAAGCCAACGUAAAGCUACCUUAAGCAAAAAAAGGCAGGACCAUUGAAACAUCAGACUGUUGCACAAUUGGACAACACAACCAUCUAAAGAAUAUGGAACAUGACAUGGAUCUCAGAAGAAGGGAAUUGUAAGGUCAGCUAUGACCUGGUGAACAGCAAGGGAAGCAAGGACGGCUGCAAUAAUGUGUAUUUGCUUCUUGCUUAUUACGUGUGUGUGUUUAUAUUUGUAUAUAUUGCUAAUUUUCUCUUUACUGUCUCCACUUUUCCCCUUAGGAUUUCAUGAAAGGAUUGUUGGUGAUGGCUGAUUUCACAAUUUAGUCUUUAGGUCGCAGGAUAGUCAGGUGAGAGUGUGAUUCAACUUGAGGAGUAAUUAAUAUCACCCACAGAUGAGCGCUGUGACUGUCACUCCAGGGCUGGAAACAAUGAAUGUUAGGAUGGUGUCUCCUCUUUUGAGACAGUUCCACGCCCACUCUUCCAUGCUCUGCUCCUUGAUGCCAGGCUCAAUCUGAACAUUUCUUUUCUCACUUGCCAGCUGGCUCUCUGCCAUUUGAGGGUAACUAGCAGGAGAGCUGAGGCAAGAGAAGGAGAGAAGGAACUUGAAUCCCUUCCUUCUUGCUUGCAUCCAUUCCUGUCUAUAUAACCCCAGCAAAGGCUGUUGACCUUGGCAGUGGCAGCUGGCUCUGGAGGACGUUGGUUCCUGUUUCCAACUUCCUUUGGCAGCCUCAGAACCAGUCUCAUUGCAUCCUCUUGGAGGUGCUAGCACCAGCUGGGCAGUGCCCCUUCUUAAGGGUCAGAGUCUCAGCUGCGUGAGACUCUCCUCUGAGAGCUUGAGAUGCAACUAGCAGCCAACCCCAGCACACUCGGCCCAGAAGUCUAAGUGACAGCUCUGCAGAGAACCUCCUUUGAGCUCUGGAGAUGCUAGCACUGGCAUGGAAGCACCCCCUCCGGAGAGGUCUGAGUCCCUAGGGUACACCUCCUCCGAAAACAUCUCUUUCCCUCCUCCCAUAGCCCUGGGGUGACAGAUGUUUCCAAAAGCUACUACCUCUGUGUGUCCUCAGAGUUUCUGUCCUUUCUUUUUGGUCCUCCAGGACCUGUUGAACAAUCCCCUAUGUACUUCUCUUGCUCUGAUAAUCAGUGUGCUUUCUGCCUUUAUAACUGGGUCCCAGUGGAUACAGCCAUAGCAGGUCAAUAUGGUCAAUCCCAUGUCUAGUGCUUGGGGAAAAAAAGAAGGAAGAUUGUGCUCAGAUUCUUUAUAAAAACUUUUAAAUUUAAUUUACUUGAGAGAGGGACAGAACAUGAACAGGGGGAGGAGCAGAAGAUUCCCCACUGAAUAAGGAGCCUGACAUGGGGCUCAAUUCUAGGACCCCUGAGAUCAUGGCCUGAGCCAAAGUCAGAUGCUUAACUGAUGGAGGCCACCCAGGUGCCCCACAAAAACUUUUUUUUAAUUAUCAAAUAGUUUGUGAAAAAUUAUUCAGGGGAGUAACAUCUGGAGGAAGAAACCUGUAAAACGUUCAUGAGCCACAUAAAAUAGAACUAAUGGAGAUGUCUACUGUUAGAGGAAGCAAGUCCUAAUAUUAUAAAGAUAUCAAGCAAUAAUUGUCCGUAUAAAUCUACAAAUGGAGGGGCACCUGGAUGGCUCAGUCAGUUAAGCAUCUGAUUCUUGAUUUUUGGCUCAGGUCAUGAUCUCGAGGUCCUGAGAUAGAGCCCCAUGUCCCGCUCCACACUCAGCAAGGAGUCUUAAGGACUCUCUUCCUAUCCCUCUGUUCCUCCCUCUGCUCGCGUGCUCUUUCUCUAAAAUAAAUAAAUCUCUAAAAAAAAUCUACAAAUGUAAUGAAAUUCCGUUCAAUUUCCCUCAGGGAUUUUUUUUUAAAAGCAUAACCAAAUAAGCCUAAAGUUUAUCAGGAGGAAUGAAUUAUCAAUAGUCAACAAAGUAUUGAAAAGAAGGGUAACCUGCAUGUCAGUUAGUAAAGUAAAUUACAAAAAUACAUCUAUCAAAAUAGUGUAAACUGGUUCCACAUCCAGGAAUAGUGAAUGACUUUCAUUGAUUUCAUUGAUACUUUGAUACACUGAUUUCAUUGAUACUGCCUUCAGAUAGUAAUUAUACACCCCGAA
rnacentral:lncRNA from 1 species